rnacentral:misc_RNA from 1 species
GAGAACGAGUUCCAUGUCUUGCCUAAGAAGCCAAAAGCAGAUUAACACUCAUUUCUUUUUCAAGAUUUUAAUAGCAUUCUUCUACAAGUGAUUACUCCAGCAAAAUCAGCAGAAGUAACUAGAAAAUUAAUCAGAAAAGAAGCCCCCCCAAGGUGAUGAAGGAAAAUCAAAUAACCAAUAAAACAGAAUGUGACAGUGACAAUACAAA